rnacentral:rRNA from 1 species
GAUGAACGCUAGCGGCAGGCUUAAUACAUGCAAGUCGAGGGGCAGCAUGGUGUAGCAAUACACUGAUGGCGACCGGCAAACGGGUGCGGAACACGUACAGAACCUUCCUUCGAGAGGGGAAUAGCCCAGAAAAAUUUGGAUUAAUACCCCAUAGUACAUUAGAGUGGCAUCACUUUGCUGUUAAAGAUUCAUCACUUGAAGAUGGCUGUGCGGCUGAUUAGGUAGUGGGCGGGGUAACGGCCCACCAAGCCUGCGAUCAGUAACUGGUGUGAGAGCACGACCAGGCACACGGGCACUGAGACACGGGCCCGACUCCUACGGGAGGCAGCAGUAAGGAAUAUUGGUCAAUGGACGAAAGUCUGAACCAGCCAUGCCGCGUGGAGGAUGAAGGUCCUCUGGAUUGUAAACUUCUUUUAUAUGGGACGAAAAAAGGCUUUUCUAGGUCGUCUGACGGUACCAUAUGAAUAAGCACCGGCUAACUCCGUGCCAGCCGCCGCCGUAAAAC